rnacentral:rRNA from 1 species
GAUGAACGCUAGCGGGAGGCUUAACACAUGCAAGUCGAGGGGUAAGGUAGCAAUAUCUGAGACCGGCGCACGGGUGAGUAACGCGUAUGCAACCUGCCCUUUACAGGGGGAUAGCCCGUCGAAAGGCGGAUUAAUACCCCAUAAUAUUGUACCAUCGCAUGAUGGAACGAUAAAAGCUGAGGCGGUAAAGGAUGGGCAUGCGUGACAUUAGCUAGUUGGUAGGGUAACGGCCUACCAAGGCUACGAUGUCUAGGGGUUCUGAGAGGAAGGUCCCCCACACUGGUACUGAGACACGGACCAGACUCCUACGGGAGGCAG